AUCCAACAUGUGUUAGCAAAUGAUUGCAUGAUUUUGGAUAAAUAGCAUCCAUAAUGAUUAUUAUAUUAUUUACACAUUAUUAUGAUGAGGUAGAAAGAUGCAUGAAAAGAAAAAUAAAGUUUUCAGCAUGAUCAUGAAUUUUAUUCAGCAUGAUGCCAUUACUCACUUUUCAAUGUACCGAUGAGAAAAGAUUUAUGAAAAGCAUGAUAUGUUUUUAAGAACUCUCAGAUCGCUAUGUACGACCCUCGCCAGCGGGUUAUAGUAGCUUGGUUUAGACCCUGCCAACGGGGAACAAUAGUUGGCAAAGAUUAUGGCCCU
rnacentral:lncRNA from 1 species